rnacentral:rRNA from 1 species
GGCGGCAUGCCUUACACAUGCAAGUCGAACGGCAGCACGGGGGCAACCCUGGUGGCGAGUGGCGAACGGGUGAGUAAUACAUCGGAACGUGUCCUGUAGUGGGGGAUAGCCCGGCGAAAGCCGGAUUAAUACCGCAUACGCUCUACGGAGGAAAGGGGGGGAUCUUAGGACCUCUCGCUACAGGGGCGGCCGAUGGCAGAUUAGCUAGUUGGUGGGGUAAAGGCCUACCAAGGCGACGAUCUGUAGCUGGUCUGAGAGGACGACCAGCCACACUGGGACUGAGACACGGCCCAGACUCCUACGGGAGGCAGCAGUGGGGAAUUUUGGACAAUGGGCGCAAGCCUGAUCCAGCAAUGCCGCGUGUGUGAAGAAGGCCUUCGGGUUGUAAAGCACUUUUGUCCGGAAAGAAAACGCUCUGGUUAAUACCCGGGGCGGAUGACGGUACCGGAAGAAUAAGCACCGGCUAACUACGUGCCAGCAGCCGCGGUAAU